rnacentral:rRNA from 1 species
GAUGAACGCUCGCUACAGGCUUAACACAUGCAAGUCGAGGGGAAACGACAUCGAAAGCUUGCUUUUGAUGGGCGUCGACAGGCGCACGGGAGAGGAACGCGUAUCCAAUCUGCCCAUCACUUGGGAAUAACCUUGCGAAAGUAAGACUAAUACCCAAUGACAUCCCACGAAGACAUCUGAAUGGGACUAAAGAUCUAUCGGUGAUGGAUGGGGCUGCGUUUGAUUAGCUUGUUGGCAGGGUAACGGCACACCAAGGCAACGAUCAGUAGGGGAUCUGAGAGGAGGCUCCCCCACAUUGGAACCACGGCCCAGUCCAAACCGCGAGGGGAGACAACAGUAUGUAAUAUAAGGGAAUGAGGGAGAGCCUGAACCAGCCAAGUAGCUUGCAGGAGGACUGCCCUAGGGAUUGUAAACUGCUUUUAAAAGGGAUUAAAGUAAGUCUCGGGAGACUUUUUGAAGGUACCUAAUGAAUAAGGACCGGCUAAUUCCGUG